UCCUGCAGACUGCCUCUGGAAUGUUAGCAUACAACUGAAAAAUCAGGAUGUUCAGCUGGGUGGUGAAAGUGGUUCCCCAGCCUCCUGAUCCUCCAGGAAAACUUGGGGAGGAAGACAAGCCCAUACCACCUCCAGACAAGAAAGUGUCAUUUAAAGAGGAAGCUCCAAAGGAAGGCCCCAAACCAGUCAAGCCUAAAGAGGAAGAAGUCUCACAGGAAACUGGUAACCAGAGUGGAGUGUUGACCUGGCUCUCUCAUGGCUUCUCUAGUGCUCUGCCCCAGCCAGCAGGAAGCCCGAGGCUGUCCAGAGCAAAUUCAGAGGUGAAGGAUGAUGCAUCGGGCACCAGUAAGGCAGAUGAAGCUGAAGGCAGCGGAGUCAUGGGCUGGUUCGUGCAGGGACUGGGAAAAGUGGUUCCUCAACCAGAUGACAAGUAUAAAGAAACAGCGGAAGCGGAAGAGAGCACAGAGGUGCAUGAAAUGAAAGAUGUCCCUGACGCUGAGCCUCUCAUCCCUGUUGUGGAGCUUGUGUCAGAUGACGAGGAGGAUAACAAAGCUGCCCCUCCAAGUGUCAUUAAUUGGAUAAAGCAAGGCUUAGAGAAGGUGGUCCCACAGCCAGUUGAUGGUCACUCAGAGGUCACAGUAAAGAAGGAAUCAGUGAUAUCCCCUCCUCCUGAAAUCUCCAAGGCUGAGGAGGAAUCUAUUAGCUCGAAUAUGGUCGGCUGGAUUGUGUCGGGCUUUGGCCGCAUCAUGCCUCAACCUGUGCUGAAAACUGGGGAGAACUGUGAAUCAAUGCAAAAUGGGAAAGCCCCCUAAACAAAAGGAGGAGAGGACUGGGAGAGUCACUCACAUGCACCUACAGAUACACAGAGACAGUGGCAGAAAGAAUGGCAAACUGACAAACAGACAGACAGACAGACAGACAGACAGACAGACAGAUGCAGCAAUUACAAACAGGCAGCUUUAUGAGCGCAGCUGUGUAUCAAGCACUUUGUUUUUCAUGGAUAGUGGUGCAGUGUGAAGUAAUGCUUGGCUUUGCAUAGGAGAUUAUUCAGUGCUACGGUUUGUUUGGAAUCAGGAAAAAUAUAAAAUUAGUCUUCAUUGUGAGGCUUUCACUGUUUACAUUGUAACAUUUGCA
rnacentral:lncRNA from 1 species